AUCCAACUGACGAACCUUAAAUAGAGCGGAACGCGUGUCAUGGAU
rnacentral:hammerhead_ribozyme from 1 species